UACCUGGUUGAUCCUGCCAGUAGUCUA
rnacentral:rRNA from 1 species